GUAGAAUAUCAUCCUCCUUUCUUUCUUCCAACUAUUAGUCCAUCAGGAAAACAUGGCGAAAAUCUUUCUUUGUAGGAGGUGACAUUUUCUGCUGAGAAUCUCUUAGAGACACCCUGCUCAUCAUCAUUAAUGUGCUCUGAUUUACAUUCAGGCUCUUCCUAUCCUGAAUAUGUUCCCAACAUCAAUCUGUCUGUACAGUCUUGAAAAAAGAAUUUAAGUUACCAAGUUAGUGCAUACAUUAGCUUUCUCUUACUGGAAGCAGACACUUAAAAAGAGGAACUUUUGCUGCUUUGCUUCUGGUUCUGUGCCAAGGCAACAGGGCAUGAUGGGAACAGGUUAAAGAGCAAAUCUUCUCAACUCCUGGCUGCCAGGAAGCCAGUGAGAGGAAGAGGCCAGGGAAAAGGUCCUGCUGAGCCUUGAAGGGCACAGCCCCAAUGACCUCAUUCCCUCCUGGUAGGUCCCACCUCCCACAGGAUCCACCACUACAUACUAUGGCUAUGCCACAGAGAAACUCCUGUAUCAUGUGGACUUUUGGUAUAUCAUCUAAGUUCUCCGAUUCCUAGCUGGGGUGAAUGGCACAUCUAUGUAAUAUCAUCCCUCAGGAGGGUGAGGAUGGACAGAUGUGAGAAGUUUGAGGACAGCCUGAGAUACAUAGUGAUUGUGGCCUCAAACUCUCAGCCAUCCUCCUGCCUCAGCUUCUUGAGUGCUACUAUUACAUCAUGGGCCAGGACACUAGGCCUCUUUUAACUUGUUUGAGGAAAGUCCUAGGGCCCUGGGAAGAGAGGCCAAAGAUCCCUGAAGGCAGAAUUCUGCAUGAUGAAGUCUAUGCCUUGUGCGGGUUGCUGGAAGACAUGUCCAGGGAUGAAAGUACCAAGUAACCUUCACACAGAGCCUAAAGAACAGACAGCCUUAACAUCAACAGAUACCAGAAAUGGAUUAAAGCAAAAUUUAGAAUCCCAGUGUGGAAUUCACCUGAAUGUCCCAUUAUGAAUAAAUGGCUAUGACAAUAUCUGUCAUCUAUCUACACAGUAGACAGUUAUACCUUCCUCAGAAAGGACGGCACUCUGACAUCCUGCACUCUCAAGGGACCCUGAGGACAUUGUGCUAAGAGGAAGAAGGCAGACACCAAAGACACACGUGGUCUGAGUCCACAGGACUGCUAGGCAUACAAGGAUCCCAGCGCUGUCCAUUCAUAGGGACAAUGGGAGAACACUGCUUCCCAGAGGCUGUGAGAAGAGACUGGGCAUCCAUGGUUUCAUGGGGUAGAGUUUCUCUUCAGGUGGAGGAAACAAUUCCAUAGAUGCAUAGAGGGCUGGCUGUACAACAGAAGCAAUAGACAUUCACGUGCUACAUAUUAUAUUUUGGCCAGUGAUGGACCACAGAGACAUAGUGCUUAUAUGAGAUGGUUUCACCUCCUGCCCUGCUAGUUCUUAGAGCUGGGUGGAGUUUGGAAGGAAGGGAACAAUGGACCCUGCAAGGAGAACUGAAAGCAGAUGGAGAACAGCAAAGGUCUGUUGAUGGCAUCCAACUUCUGUCCUUAGGCCUCUGGCCGGAAAAGGAAGAGAGGCUGUGGGAGUCAGAAGAUGAGUGGCAGAUGGACCUGCUGGGUCUUUUUGAUCCAGUCCCUCGAUUAGCACUCUACUUCCUGCCUCUGGCCAGAAGAAGCAGAAAGACUGGUCCAUAGAAGUGGAGAACUAUGAGGAGGAGGACAUGUCUGGGUUUUUUUACUUAGCCUAUACGGUAAACCCCCAGCUCUCACCUCAGUCCCCUGGCCAAAAAAAGAAAGUGGGAAUGAUUAUUUGGGUCUAGGAAGAAAUCACAGGAGGCACUGGGCAACCUGGUCUGGGCCCUCAGUGCAUAGGGCUCAUGGAGUUCCCAUAUGGACUCCAAAUGACCCUGAGAGGAAGCAUCUAUGGUCAGUGCUGCUUGAGCACCACCAGGAACCAGGCUGUUAGGUAAGCAGACCUCAGACUGCACCUCCAACAAGGUUCUUUAAGAACAGAAGAAAAGUGCAAUUACUUCCUUUUCCCAUCAAAGGGAGGUCACUGUGAGGCAGGAGCUCUCCUUCCCAGAGGACUCUGGCCCCAUCCAUCCUCAGGGACAUGGAAAUGACACAACUUACACAUGUGUUAAAAUGUUCCCCCAUUGUGAUCAGAAAGCCUGGUUACAGCACCUUCCUGUUCAACAGAACUCUUGCUGACUCUUCUCAGUGCAAAUGGUUUCAGCCCUAAAUGUGUGACCGGGACACCUUCAUUCCCAAAUGUGUAUCUCAGAGGAGAAAAGAACCCUCAUGCUUUCUGAGUUUGAAAGUGAUAUAUUCAUAUGUCAUGAGGCCACCAUGGUAUGUUCAAAGCUCCUAAUAAUGCAGGUAUUUGCUGCUACCCAGCCUCUAACUCAGUAGUUCCUCCAGGAUUCUGAGGGUUGAGCCCAUGUCCCCUGUCAAGUGAAUGUCCUCCUCCACCCUCUGCUCAUUUGUCUGCCCUCGGCCUCAUGCUGAACCUUUUGCCAGGCAGGCCCAGUUAUACUCCUCGUCUGCUUGCCCCAUGAGAAACCCUGUGCCAGUCCCCAAGGUGAUGCUCUGUUCUCUUCACACAGCAGACUGUGUUCAAGAGAUGCCUGGCCUGGUGCAAGAACCUCAGGUAACUAACAGAUUGAGCUCCUUUUCCCUUGAGCCAGGCUCUCACUAUGGCACGGCUUAGGGAGGAGAGAGGUCCUACCCCACAGUCCUUCUUCCAUGGCUGUCUUUGUGGGAAGCUCCCACAUGACAUUCCCCCAACUAUUCCCCCUUAGUUCUGGGGACCAUCUGCCUUCAGCUCCUGGGUUUUUUCUGGCAGGCUGGAUGUGUGCACCUUCCUCAGCCCGGGGCCUCUGGUAUCUGAAUGCAGGCCACCGUCUUCCCCAGACAUAGCUUCUCUGGGUGUUGGCAUCUUUAGUCCCUGACCCCUCUCCUAAUUCUCAAGAGCCCCUUUGCUAUAGCUUAGAAGACCCCCUUCUGAUCCUUGGAAGGGCCAUCCUAGGCAUCACAGCCUCCCUUUUCCUGACUGCUCUCAUCUGCAGACAACCUCCAGCCCCUUGACUUUCCAUGAAUAGCCAGGUGAUCCAACCCUGGGGUUCCACUCUGAGUGGAGCCCUGCCCCACCCCAGUCCCUGUCUGCACAUCCCUCUUCCAGGUGUGGCCACUCUCUGUGGUCCUCUCUCCCCAUCACUGCCUCAUCAGUGCUAAUUCAAAUAGUCAUCACUGACUAUUUCAACUGGGCAGGCCUCUUCCUCUGGCAGUACCAGAGGUUCCAAUGCUUCCUGGCUCCUUGAGUACUCUGCCUCCUCCCCACAGUCCACAGGAGAGUGGGGAGAAUGA
rnacentral:lncRNA from 1 species